rnacentral:rRNA from 1 species
UACGUAGGGUGCGAGCGUUGCCCGGAUUUCUUGGGCGUAAAGGGCGCGUAGGCGGCUCGGCACGUCCGUUGUGAAAUCGCCCGGCUCAACUGGGCGGGGUCGGCGGAUACGGCCGAGCUGGAGCAAGCUAGGGGGUAAUGGAAUUCCCGGUGUAGUGGUGGAAUGCGUAGAUAUCGGGAGGAACACCAGUGGCGAAGGCGGUUACCUGGAGCUUUGCUGACGCUGAUGCGCGAAAGCGUGGGGAGCGAUCCGG